GUAAAAGAGAAAAAAUUGAAUGUAAGGACCAGUGAACAGGCGAACAGAAUGAAAUACGAUUGCAGUUACAUCUGAUUUCCCAUGGAAGUCAAGCUAUGAAGCACUUUGUAGUCCUCAAACUAAGCAGGCGGAGAGACUUCUGGUGUUUGUCUGGAGGGCUCUUGGCCCAGUUGGGCGGGGUUUAGUGUAAUGGCUCUGUUCUCCACUAGAUGGCGCCGCUUAGCGUACUGGGGUAGAUUGUUACAGCGUGUGUAGGCGUGUCUGCGCAUGAGCGGGAGGGGUGAAAAUGGCGUCUCCCAGAUACCCGAUCUCCAGUAUUGGAACUCUGUGCUCUCCCUGACCGGCAAUCAAAUACCCCUCCUUUUUUGCUGGUUUCCAUCUACUCCCCGCUUUGACACUGUCCGUGACCAGGCCGUCAGGCUGCUAGGCAGCGCCUGUCUCCUGAGUUUCAUCUCAGAUGCGGCUGUGUUUCCCGACCCCUCACUUCUGAGGGACUGUGGCUUUGACCUGCUCAGAUCCUCUGGGGAAGGGUCUCACUGACCAAUGGCCGGUGCUGGCGGCACCCAGGAACGUUUGCUGGACUGUGCUGCUGCCGGUGCCCUGAGACUGCAGCCGGGUGCCAGCCGGCCCCAGAAAAAGUUCGCGAGAUAGUGUAGCAGCAGCGUUUCAGGGAUUAUGGAAAAUCACAGCACACAUCUGGCGCCAGGCUUCACCCUUAACGUCCUUGUUCCAGCACCAGUGAAUGUCCUCGUUCUCCGCGGUCCACUGGGAGACGUCGUCCAGCAGGGGAACCACCACAUCCUGUGUGGACCAUGCUCUCUGCCCCUGGAGAUUCACCCUUCUCACCAGAGCAACGCCAGAGAGGAGACCUUUCUGUGCAAGUUGGACAUGUUGAUUAGGAAGCAGGAAAGAGAAAGACAGAGAUGCCAAGAAAAAUGUGCUAUUUUAACGUCAAGCAACACAAAAGAAGCAUAGGGUUAUUUCCAGCCUAAAGUUGGAGGCUACAUUUGGAACAGACCCCUAAGAUACCAGAUGCUUAACUCAAUCUUCUUUUCUCAAUUGAGGGACUUUCACGUAGGCAUCAAAUAUGAUCUCUUCUACCUUCUUGUCAGCACCUAGUGUUCACUUACCAGUUUUUCUGCUAAUUUUCAUUGAGUGCUAAUUUUGCCUCAGGGAAGAUUUUCCACAUAUCUAGGU